UGCGCAGGCGCGGCCGGCGGGAGUGGCACUCGGGCGCCGUAACCCCGGGGUACCCAGGGUUGGGCUCCGCUCUGACCUCGACCGAGAGGACGCCAGAGGACUCGUGUGACCCUGCCUGAGUGUGGAAACAUAGCGGGCAGAGGACAUGGUUGGAGUAAAAAACUCGGGGCCGUGAGUGGCGAUAUAGAGUUAACGAGGCGCUCGGAGCUGGCCUUUGUCCUCGAUCAUAUCACAAGCAUAUCGAGCGCCGGUCCUGGGCCAGGUCCCAGGCUGGGAACCACGAUGCAGCAGGCACUGACUAAAGGGAAUUCUCAGCGCUGGGGGGAGACAGCGACACCAGGCAGAUCUUGAGGACGGCACCUGGGAGUAUCAAGGCAGGCUUCCAGGAGGCGAUGGCUGGAAGCGAAACUUAGGUGAAUAAGAGUUGACCACACGGAGACCAAGGAGAGGGGAGGACCAGUGUUUGUAAGCAGUAGAGGAAUACGAUCAGAUUUGUUUUGUCAGAAAGUUCGUGCUGGCUGCUGGGUGGGCGAUGACUUGGAGUGUGCAGAGGUCUGGAUUUGAGACUACAUUGGGAGGUGGCCUCCUCCAGUGGCCCAACUCCUGGUAGUUCAGCCCCGACUGAACCUGCAGUCCAUCCAUCCACCCACCUCCUUGCAUGUUAAUCCUUCCCAUUGCCUCUCACACCCUGCUUUGCCCAUAAUCUGUUUUGUAUAUACAACCCCCCUGCUCUUCUCUCGCGCUUGGCUUAACCCUAGUUAAGCUCAGCUCUCCUUGGCUCCUGUCCCUGUAUAGCUAAAUGUCAUGAGAGAAAAACACUCAACCUUUGUGAUUCCCCAGUUGACCCUUCCUGCUGCUAGCUUUCCUGUUACAUACAUUCCCCGGCCCUUCCCUCUCUCACUCCCUCCCCGAGACCUUCUCUCUCAGGCUCCAGCACCUCCUUCCCACCCCCUUUAAGCUAGUCACUUUGUAUCCUCUCAUUAAGAAAAUAGAAGCUGUCAAAAGAGCUCUCAUGGCUCCCUGCAUCCCUGGGACUCCGCCUUCUCUCCUGUUACUUCGGAUGAUCCAACCCUGCUCCAGACAAACCCCCUUGUACCCUCCAUCCCAUCCUCUCACGUACCCAAGGGCUGCCCCAACCAUUCUCCCUCUCUUGCAACAUUGAUUUUCCCAUUAACAUGGGAAUAAAAUACGCUGUUGCUUUCACUGUUUUAAAAUCCCCUCGUGGCCCACCUCCCCUUCCAGCCAUCCCAGUUCACUGCAAAAGCUCUUGUCAAGUUUCUCACUCACACACUGUCGCUGAGCUCCCUUGUCCAUUCUCAGUUCUAACCCCACUGCUGCAGCAACAGGCACAGCUAAUCCCUGCCACUUCCUGGAAGCCCCUCCUCACCUGGCUCCCAGGACCCUGCAGUCCGGCCCACCUCACUGUGGGCUUCUUCACUGAUUCUUCCCCAUCUCCUAAAUGUUGGGGAGCCUCAGGGCGCAGGCUGUCUCCACUGUCCAUUCCCCACUCCCUGGGGGUCUCUGUUAGUCUCCUGGUUUCAAAUGCCUUCUGUGUGCCAAUGCUCCCAAGUUUUUAUCUCCAGCUGGGCCUUGACCCUGAACCCCAGACUCAUGGAACCCACUGCCUGCUUGGCAUCUCUGCACACUUAACGGGCAUCUUGCACUCAGCAGGUCCAAAGCAGCUCCUGGAUUUGAGGGUGAUCUGGCUGUAACAUGUCACCCCAUUGAUCACCAGGGUUAAUUCGGCUGAUCUGGCUGGCUAGGCAGGUGCCUCCUUCCUCCCUGACCGCUCCCUGUGCGUCCCCCCGGAAGCUGUGCACUCAGUCGAAGAGGAUGACCUUCCUCAAUGGAGGAGAGGACUGUUCUUUGGUCAAGGGUAGAGAAGUAGCUGCACUUUCCUGCUAGAACCUCCAAACAAGCCCUCAAAACAGAACUCCUGACCUCCCCACCAAGCCCGUGCCUCCCUCCUGCUCUGACCACGUGCUCAAGCCAAAGUCCCUGGCGCAUCCCAAAGCCUCUUCUCACCUCAAGGCCUUUGCACUUGUUCUGCUACUGGGAACGCUCUUUCCACGGGUGUCUGUGGGACUCACUCCCUCACCUUCAGAUGCCACCUUCUAAGGGACCCCUCAUUCUAAAGUUGUGACCCACCACCCAACACAGCCUCUCUCUCCUUUGCUUUAUUUUUCCGAUACUUUGCAUUAUGAACAUUCUGUGACACUAUCUCUGUUUGUUCUGUCUUCCCUCCAAAGGUAAGAUCCUUGUCUACUAUGUUCCCUCACAUAUCCCCAACACCUAGCACAUAAUAGGUGCUCCAUAAA